rnacentral:rRNA from 1 species
GACGAACGCUGGCGGCGUGCUUAACACAUGCAAGUCGAACGGAAAGGCCCUGCUUUUGUGGGGUGCUCGAGUGGCGAACGGGUGAGUAACACGUGAGUAACCUGCCCUUGACUUUGGGAUAACUUCAGGAAACUGGGGCUAAUACCGGAUAGGCGCUCCUGCUGCAUGGUGGGGGUUGGAAAGUUUCGGCGGUUGGGGAUGGACUCGCGGCUUAUCAGCUUGUUGGUGGGGUAGUGGCUUACCAAGGCUUUGACGGGUAGCCGGCCUGAGAGGGUGACCGGGCCCACUGGGGGAGAGAUACGGGCCACACUCCCCGGGGGGGGAGAGGGGGGGGAUAUUGCGAAAUGGGGGGGAGGCCUACACCGAGACGCCGCGGGGGGGGGAUGGGGCCUUGGGUGGUAAAACCCUUUUUGCCGUGACACAAAGGGGGUGGAGGGACAUGGGGAAAAAGAACCGGCCCAAUACGGG